ensembl:lncRNA novel transcript
GCCCUUCCGGGGGCGUGGCCAGGCAGGUGGGCGGCCCUUCCGGGGGCGUGGGCAGGUGGGCGACCCUUGGGGGGCAUGGGCAGUGGAGCAGCCACCGGCCCUGACCUGGACCACGUGCUGGGCGCCUCCUGGCAGCCCGUUCUGCUCCCGAAUGCCCCGGCUUAGUCAGUCUGGGAUGCGGCCCUGGACACCGGGCUUUAUGCAGCUCUGAAGUGAUCCCAGCACACAGCCCGGGUCAAGCUCAGCGCUCGGCAACCAUAGGCACCCAACAACGGGCUGCAGCCAUCAGUAACAACGGCAGCUCCAACGCCCAGAGAACUCACGGAGCAGACACACAUCAGGUACUCCAGGUACACCAGCGAUUCAGGAUCAUCCCCAUGGCAGCCCUCCUUCCUCUGAAGGAUUUUUUCCCACUCUCCUCAGAUGAAGACGCGGAGGCCUGAGCGCUGGGGGUCGCCCGGGGCUGCACAGCGGGUCAGAGGCCAACCCUGGGCGGAGCCAGGCCACACCCUCCCUCAAGGAUUCACAGUCUCCCCAAAGUAACCGCAACGAGGGACCCUCCCGUCACCAAACUUCCUUUCAGUCACUUCCGCUUGUACUAAUUCUGGCCCAACCGUUCAUUAUAUUUUUACAAUUCUUAUCUUGGUGUGUAUUUUUUGACCCUAAAAAUCCUAACUCCAUUCCAUCAAUAUUUUGUAUAUGCAGAUUUCUAGCACAGUAAGUCAUAAAAUGUGCCUCUCCUGGCAACACAAAAA